UUGUAAUAUUUCAUAUAGAGUUUUUCAUGAGAGUUUACCCCCUGGUUUGGCCCAGGGGGUGACAUUUAGAUUCGAGUUUAUUCUCGGAUCGACCCCUUCUUCUUUGAUUAAUAAGAAUUAAUUAUUGAAGAUAUAUCGCUCUCACUGUCUAUAUUUUUUUACUCUUUUGAAUAUUUAUAUACUUCACAAACAUCCGUCUCAACGAGCAAAGAAAGUUGCACCGUUCUAACAGGGCCGCCAAAGGGGACCAAAAAUUGUCAAACAUAGGCCAUGCUUGGCUAAAUUCUUACAUCACUUGGUGAAGACGUAUUUCUUUUAUGAUUUCCAAACUCUGGCUACUUUUUAAUUGGUUACGACGCGAACCCAGAAGAUACCGGUGAAGUUUAAGAUGCUUGAAGACGCAAAACUGAAAUUAGUGGAAGCUUUGCGGGUUUACGUUUCAAGAAGUCAUGUGUCUGCACUCCAUUGCCACUUUUGUAGGAUUUAUUAUCAUAUCC